GAUGAAGAACGUAGCGAAAUGCGAUACGUAAUGUGAAUUGCAGAAUUCAGUGAAUCAUCGAAUCUUUGAACGCAUAUUGCGCUCUCUGGUAUUCCGGAGAGCAUGCUUGUUUGAGUAUCAGUAAACACCUCAACUUCCAUAUCUUUUUUGAAAUGGGAGUUGGACUUGAGUGAUCCCAACGCUUUUCCUCACCGAAAAGUGGCGGGUUACUUGAAAUGCAGGUGCAGCUGGACUUUUCUCUGAGCUAUAAGCAUAUCUAUUUAGUCUGCCUAAAAAACAGAUUAUUACCUUUGCUGCAGCUAACAUAAAGGAGAUUAGUUCUUGUGCUGACUGAUGCACGAUUCACAAAGACAGCUUCGGCCGACUUUGUAAACUCGAUCUCAAAUCAAGUAAGACUACCCGCUGAACUUAAGCAUAUCAAUAAGCGGAGGA
rnacentral:misc_RNA from 1 species